AACGAACGCUGGCGGCAGGCCUAACACAUGCAAGUCGAACGCUCCGCAAGGGGAGUGGCAGACGGGUGAGUAACACGUGGGAAUCUUCCUAUUGGUACGGAAUAGCUCAGGGAAACUUGGGGUAAUACCGUUUAAGCCCGAGAGGGGAAAGAUUUAUCGCCAGUAGAUGAGCCCGCGUCUGAUUAGCUAGUUGGUGAGGUAAUGGCUCACCAAGGCGACGAUCAGUAGCUGGUCUGAGAGGAUGAUCAGCCACACUGGGACUGAGACACGGCCCAGACUCCAACGGGAGGCAGCAGUGGGGAAUAUUGGACAAUGGGCGCAAGCCUGAUCCAGCCAUGCCGCGUGAGUGACGAAGGUCUUCGGAUUGUAAAGCUCUUUUGGCGGGGACGAUAAUGACGGUACCCGCAGAAUAAGCCCCGGCUAACUUCGUGCCAGCAGCCGCCGCCGUAA
rnacentral:rRNA from 1 species